rnacentral:lncRNA from 10 species
UGUGUGUUUGUUCUUCAUUAAUGAGAUGGUGGAAGCCAUGCCAGCUGGAGUUUUACUAACCUGAAAGCCCUUGAAUCUGACCUUUCCAGUAUUGCCUUCAGUCUAGGAAGUAGACACCAGAAGCUGACAGUGACAGAGCAGCCACCUGGGAGGAGCUGGAGGACAAAGGACUUCACAGAAGAAUGGAGUCCCAAAGAAACAGCUUCAGGAACUGAGGAGAGCCAGAAAUUUAAUGUAUUUAGGGCUCCCUUGUGAAAACACAAAAACAAAAAUAAAAAUGCCUCCCGCUGCCUCGACAUCUCUAUUCCACUGAUGCCCGACCAUUCUUUUGAAAAACAAACGGAAAAAGUGAAGUGUUGAUGACAGUCACUGGGGGGUUAGAGUAAGGCCCUGUUGUGGAAGAGGCCUGCUGUUUCACAAAAGACGAGCUUUGUCUUGACUGACAUGUCCUUAAAAACAAAACCACAAGUAAACUCUGGGAUGUGUGUGUGUGUGUGUGUGUGUGUGUGUGCGCGCGCGCGCACGCGCAUGUGCAUGCUGAUACCCGCUAAUGGGUGAAUUGGGGGUGGGGCUCGGCACAGUCUGGAUUUGAUUUGCAGGAUUAUGAAUUUUCUUGAAUGUUUUGGGAAAAGUUUGAGGAUUUGGUGGAUAUUUGAGAAUUAGAAGUUUUAUUUGAGGAGCAUUUAAGUACUGAGUUGGUUAUCUGGUAAACAUCUAGACUCUGUCCUUAGCUACUUUCACGAGUCUCCUUUCUUUCCAGAAAGUUUGAAGUUCUUUAAAAGAAAUAUUUGUUCCUGAGAUUCAAGGGUGGUGAUGAGUGUGGUCUUAACUGUAAAGGAAAGAAAAAAGUGAAAAAUCUCAAACAUUGCUUGAAAUUUUUACACUAGAUAGUCAUAUAUUCCACUCUGAAAAUAUAAGAUUCUAUAUCUUGUAUAUACAUUUAAAACAUCAUACUAAUUUCUGGAGUACAUGAGACAAUGUUUUUUCUUGUAAAAAACUUUUAAAACUAAUUUAAUAGAUAUGAUUUGUGUCUCAUUUUAAUCUUCUUUGAUUACUAAGGAGGCUAUACAUUUUUCUAUAUUUCCUUUCCUAUAAAUUGUUUAGUCAUGUUGUUUUUACAUACAUAUUUUGGAAUUUUAGGAGUUCUUCCUUAGCAACUUGUAAGUCCUGUUUUUUUAAUUGCAGAAUAUUUCAGACAUAUGGAAAAGUAACAGAUAUAUUUAAAGCUCCCUUUGUAACCUUCCCAGUUACCAUUUCCUACCCUCUCCUCCAGAGGUAAUUUACCACUUACAGUUGCUUUACAUCUUUCCCUUCCACAUUUUAAUAGUUUUAGUCCUUGGUCAUCUCUCUCUAUAUUUCUCUCUCUCUUUUUCUCACACACUCAUAAACAUACACACACAUUCAUUAGUUUUUAAACUUUAUGUGACUGAUAAUAUGCUAAACUUAGCAUCCUGCAACUUGCUUUUUAAAAACUCAUUUUGACAGAUUUUAAGAUCCAUUUUAUUCAUUUCAAUGGCUAAAUAAAUUCCGCUGUAUGAAUAUAACAUAAAUUAUUUUUCCACUCUGAGGGAAUCCAUUAUGUAAUUACAUAUAUUCACUCUAUUUCUGGUUGGUGUGUGUGUAUAUGUGCACACAUACUAUAAAUAUAUUUCCCUAUGUCUUCUUAUUUUAUUUUUGUACAGAAGUGUAAAGUUUUUUAUAGAGUUAAGUCUGUUAAUUGUUCUCUGUGAUUUCUUCUGUUGCUUCAAAGCAUAUAAUGUGUUUACUCCGCCAAAGAGCUAACAAAUAUUCAUUCAUAUUUUCUUGUACUUUUUCUGAGAUGCAAGAGUGGUGAUGAGUGUUGGCACUUUGGGAGGCCGAGGCGGGCGGAUCACUAGGUUAGGAGUUCAAGACCAGCCUGACCAACAUGGUGAAACCCCAUCUCUACUAAAGAUACAAAAUUUAGCUGGGCAUGGUGGCACACGACUGUAAUCCCAGCUACUCAGGAGGCUGAGGCAGGAGAAUCGCUUGAACCGGGGAGGUGGAGGUUGCAGUGAGGUGAGAUCGCGCCAUUGCACUCCAGCCUGGACAACAGAGCAAGACUCCAUCUCAAAAUAAAAACAGAAAAGAGAACGACAAGUGAAAAAUUUCAAACAUCACUGAAAAUUUUUACACUAGGUAGUCAUACAUUCCACUCCAAAAAUGUCAGAUUCUAUAUGUCAUAUACAUAUUUUAAAACGUCAUAGUAAUUUCUGGAUUAUAUUGGACAAUGCUUUUUCUUAUAACUUUUUUUAUUAACUUAAUAGAUGUGAUUGAGAUUUUUCUUUCUAAAGAAUUAAACUUUUUAAUUUAAUUAUUUAGCUACUCUUAAAAUUGUGGGUUGGGUAGAAACACACACAUAAAUCCUCUUCCUCCAUAUGCUAUCCUAACAGGGUUUAUUCAAUUAUAUAUUCCUUGGUUAUAAUUUCUUUAUCACAAAUUACAUUUUGCAUUGUUAUAUAUGAUAAAUUUAUUUUUGGACUUUCUAUUCUGUUUCAUUGAUAUCUAUGUUACUUCAGUAUUUGGAUCCUAUUUUAAUUAUUGUUGUUUAGAAAACAUUUUUAGAGCUGAUAGUCCCCGUAAUUUCUCUUAUUCAAAAUUUUAUUUGAUAUUCAUACUCACUUAUAUUUCUUAUCAAUGUUAUUAAAGUUUUAUAGCAUUUCAGGGAAAAUUGUGUUGAAUUUUUCAAUUGGGAUUGUGUUAAAACUACACAUUAAUUUGGGGAGAGUUUACAUUUGACUCUGUUUACCCUUCAUGCCAAAACAGUUUCCAGUUGUCUUCUUUGUCUUUUCUUUAUAUACAGUCAUCUACCAAAAAGGAUGUUUUGAUUGAUUAUUUGAAAUAUUUAUUCAUUUCAUUUUUAUUUCUUAUCUUGUACUACCCAAAAUUUCCAAAAUAAUAUUAAUGUUAUUGAGGCCAACGUUGUUCUGGAUUUUUCAAAUGAAUGCGACAAACGUAUCUUUGUAUAAUUUUGGAUACUGGCUUACGGAAGUAUCCUUCUUUUUUUUUUUUUGUUUUGAGAUGGAAUCUUGCUCUGUCACCCAGGCUGGAGUGCAGUGGCAUGAUCUCGGCUCACCUGCAACCUCCGCCUCCCAGGUUCA